CCUGGACUCACUCUGUAGACCAGGCUGACCUCAAACUCACGGAGAUCCACCUGCCUCUGCCUCCUGAGUGCUGGG
rnacentral:miRNA from 14 species